rnacentral:rRNA from 1 species
GAUGAACGCUGGCGGCGUGCCUAAUACAUGCAAGUCGAGCGAACAGAUGCGGAGCUUGCUCCUCUCACGUUAGCGGCGGACGGGUGAGUAACACGUGGAUAACCUCCCUAUAAGACUGGGAUAACUUCGGGACACCGGAGCAAAUACCGGAUAAUCUCUUGAACCGUAUGGUUCAAUAGUGAAUGACGGCUUUGCUGUCACUUAUAGCUGGAUCCGCGCCGCAUUAGCUAGUUGGUAAGUUCACGGCUUAUCAAGGCAACGAUGCGUAGCCGACCUGAGAGAGGGAUCGGCCACACGGGAACUGAGACACGGUCCAGACGCCUACGAGAGGCAGCAGUAGGGAAUGUUCCGCAAUGGGCGAAAGCCUGACGGAGCAACGCCGCGUGAGUGAUGAAGGUCUUCGGAUCGUAAAACUCUGUUAUUAGGGAAGAACAAAUGUGUAAGUAACUAUGCACGUCUUGACGGUACCGAAUCAGAAAGCCACGGCUAACUACGUG